GCAGGCACGUAGCUCAGUUGGUUAGAGCACCACCUUGACAUGGUGGGNUUCGUGCAAAUGCCCCGCAUUGGCCUGCA
rnacentral:tRNA from 1 species